AUGAGCAAGCAUUUCUUUAGGAAACAGAGAAAAUCACAGCAACUAUUUGAUGUUUCUCGACGCUUGAAGACAACAAGUGAAGUUGUUGCUACCAUCUUACAAGCCAAAGUCAUGAGAAAGCCGGGUGUUAAAAUGUUGGGAGAUUACAAAGUUCAUGCUCUAUUCACACAUGGUGGAGGCAACCCAACAAGUUGUUGUGGGAGCCAGCAGAGAAAGGAGUCGAGGAACCCGCAUCAUGGGAGAGUCAUCGAGGGGCAUCCGGAUAAAGCCUAUAUACUGGAUGAGAUUCUCAUUGCCGGCAUUUUUCAUGAACCUAUCAAGGAGAACAUUUCAAUACUAAUUGCAGCACAUGUUUUCUCACCACCGGCUAGCAAGAAGAGAGUAUGA
rnacentral:rRNA from 1 species